rnacentral:lncRNA from 1 species
UUUGGAGAGGAGGCCCCCGCGUCUCAAAGAGUCUUUAUCUUCCCCCAACUUGUCUUGCAGAUUUGAGUCAGCUCUGCCCAGCGCAUAGAAGUUUACCACCAGAGAGGUUAUAGCAAAGGAGAAAACUCAGGCAGCACUGGGAACCGAUCCUGGAACCUUUCCCACAGAACACAAAGAGAAGUUUCAGAGAGGCUAAUGCCUGAGGCACCAGGUUAUUGCUUCAAAAUAAGUAAACGUGUUGGCAGUCGUCACCAGAUGCCAAGCCUUAGAAACUACAGCUAGAGAGAGGCAUUUCCUUCUCCAUGCUGGGCUCCUUGUAGCUUUCUACAGUAUAUAAAAAAAAAGUAAUAUGUGUUUGUUGGGGGAAAAAAAACAGACAUUAUGGAAAAACAGAAAAUAAAAAGUAAGUCUUCUUAUAUUCCAUCUCCCCAAGGAAAAGGAUAAGUAAUUUCUUUUAUAUUCUUCCA